UACAGUUUGCCGAAAUAAAAUCCAACAUAGCCCGAUACCGGGGUGUCACCAGUCAUGAGCAUCUAUCAAUACACUACAAGUCUGAAAUGUCUACCAAGCUAUUACAAAAUAACUAAAAAAUAGAUAGAAUGAGAUAAAGGGGGAGAGGCACGGGGCUGCGAACGCCGAGCAGAUACCUCAUGGACUCCGAAAUCUGCCAGGAGCUCUCAACCCUCACUACCAGGAUCAGCAAUGCCUGAAUCUGCAUACGGGGUGCAGGGAGUAAAGUAAGUACUCCAACUCAGUGAGUAAUAAUCAUAAAUAAAGACUGAGAGCACGAAAUCACGUAAGACACAUUAUAGGUUAUAAGGAAGCAGUAAAAACCAAUAAAAUAGUGAAGCAGUAAUAAUGUGUAAAGUCAUUUUAGUCCAAUUCAAACUUCAUGAAAUGCCUUUUUAACAAUUUAAACAGGUAAAUGAUAGACACAUAAGAAAGAUAAACAUAUAAAGGAUUUCCCCUCGGGCACAAUGUCAACAAAUCCGUCCCUCGAGCAAUAUCUCAAAAACAAUAUCAUCCCCUCGUGCUAAAUCUCACAUCACAAUAGGUACCCGUGCUCACUGGGGGUGAGCAGACUCUUGGAGGGUCCCCUUACGGCCCAAGCACAAUAUCAAGCCAUCUCAUGGCAUCAUCACUAGGCUCCCGGCCUCAUAUCAACAAGCCACCUUGUGGCAUACAAAUCUCAGGCCCUCGGCCUCAUACUCAUAAACAGGUAUUUCCUCACAACAUAGGCCCUCGGCCUUACUAAGUCAAAAUCCUCACCAGCCACUCACGCAAUAGUAAAACAUAGUGCUCAACCCAAAAUAUCAUUUAAAAUAUCAUUCAAGAGUUAAAGCAGAGUAAACAUUGCUGAGUUAUGAAAAACAGUAGAAUAUAACAUGACUGAGUUCAAGUAUAAAGUCAAAACAAUGAGGAAAUAUUAAUAAAAAUCCCCUAAGGGAUCAAAUAGUUGGCACGAGGCCCAAAUAUGUCAUUCAGCCCAAAACAAGAUGAUAGCAGAUAGAUUUCAGUCAAAUACACGGUAAAAUAGUCAUUCGGGACGGACUAAGUCUCAAUCCCCAACAGUGCACGACUUCACGCUCGUCAUCUAGUGUGUGUAUCACCUCAAUAUAGCACAACGAUGUGCAAAUCCGAGACUUCAUACCCUCAAGACAUCAUUUACAAUCAUUACUCACCUCGAUCUGGUCCCAACUCUAGCCCGCGAUGCCUUUUCCCUCAUAAAUCAACCUCUGGAUGCUCCAAAUCUAGCCACAAUCAGUACAUAAUCAUUAAAAUAUGCUAAGGGAACAAAGCCCACUCGAAAAUAUCUCAUUUACAUCAAAAAUCCAGAAAUUGCUCUAACCCGGCCCCUGAGCCCACAUCACGGAAUCCGACAAAAUUAACAUCAAUAGAAUCCUCAUGAUCCCACGAGUCUAUACAUAUCAAGAACAUCAAAAUCGGACUUCAAAUGUCCCCUCAAAUCCCCACUCAAAGGUCUCUGAAAUCUCAAGCCCUAAUUACCCAUUUUUGCUACUGAUUUUCCACGUCCGAAUGAUCUAAAAUUUUGCACACACGUCACAAAUGACACCACGGACCUACUCCAACUUCCGUAAUUCCAUUCCGACCCCUAUAUUAAAAUCUCACCUAUCAACCGGAGAACGCCAAAAUCCCAAUUUUGCCAAUUCAAGCCUAAACCUUCUACGGACCACCAAAAUGCAUUUCGAUCACGUUCCUAAUUCCCAAAUCACCUAACGGAGCUAACCAAAUCAUAAAAUUUCCAAUCUGAGAUCAUAUACUAACAAGUCAAAUCUUGGUCAAACCUUUCAAAUUUUAAACUUCAAACCGAGACAGUUUCUUCAAAAUUCAUUCCGGUUAUCCUGAAAACUAAAACCAACAAUUUACGUAAGUCAUACAUCACACAAGGCUAGUCAUGCCUGAGAACUGACGAGCAAAGUGCAAAAACUCAAAAACGACCGGUCGGGGCGUUACACCCGAGGCCCGCGGAACCUCAACCAAACAUGCCAACCAAUCCUAAAACAUCAUUCAAACUUGUUCCAAAUCUUCGGAAAGCUCAAAAUAACAUCAAACACCAAUUUUACAUCAGAUUCAAGCCUAAGAAUUCCAAAAACUCUCAAAUUACGCUUUCGAUCAAAAAGUCUAUCAAACCUCGUCCGAAUGACCUGAAAUUUUGCACACACGUCACAUUCAACACUACGGAGCUACUCCUACUUCCUGAAUUCCAUUCCAACCCCGAUAUCAAAAUCUCACUAUUGAACUGAAAACUUCAAAAUUUCAACUUUCGGCAUUUCAAACCUAAAUUAGUGACGGACCUCCAAAGCACAAUUCGAACAGGCCCCUAAGCCUGGAAUCACCAAACGGAGCUAACGGAACUGACGGAAUUCCAUUCCGAGGUCGUUUUGACACUACUCCGACUACGGUCCAAUUUCUAAAACUUAAGCUCUCAUUUAGGGACUAAGUGUCCCAAAACUCUCCGAAACUCAAAGUCAAGCAUCCCGACAAAUCAAAAUAGCAGAAACAAACAUGGGGAAAGUAGUUAAUAGGGGAUCGGGGCAUAAAUUCUUAAAAUGACCGGCCGGGUCAUUACAUCUAUAUAUAUAUAUACACACACACACAGAUCCAUUUCAUUGUAAUAUUUUAACUACAUAUAUAGCAUGUUAUAGUAUAUGUUAUUGUAUUCAUUAGUUGUAUUCUAACAGAGUUAAUGGAUUACAUUCAUUCAUCACUAAUAAUGCAUGACAUAGAUUAAUCAAUAUAGGCCGAGACAUUUUGUUUUUACUAUUAAUAGAUAUAGGUCAGACGUUUUGUUUUUAAUAUUCAACGAUGCAUCUGAGUAAGUUAUAAGCCGAUGAAUCAAUUUCCAAACAGAUAUAUUUGAUGAUAAAUUAUAUAUACUAAUUAGGAUCUUCACAAGUCUAUUAACCAGAACUCACACUUAGAAAACUUAGCAUACAAUUUAUUAUCACGGAGGAUUUGGAGUACCGCUCGCAGGUGAUCCACAUGCUCACCCUCUGAACAUGAAUAAACUAGAAUAUCAUCAAUAAAGACUAUCACGAAUAGAUCCAAAUAUGGUUGGAAUAAGCUAUUCAUCAAGUCCAUAAAUAUGGCAGGUGCAUUCGUCAACCCGAAAGACAUGACAAGGAACUCGAAUUGGCGAUGACGGGUCCUGAAGGUUGUCUUGGGAAUAUCUUUCUCUCGAACUCUGACCUAGUGGUACCCUGACCUCAAAUAUAUUUUUGAAAAGCAUCUAGCUCCCUACAACUGAUCAAACAAGUCGUCUAUCCUUGGAAGUGGAUAUUUAUUCUUAAUAUUUACCUUGUUCAGUUGCCUAUAAUCGAUACACAUCCUCAGCGAGCCGUCUUUCUUCCGUACAAAAAGUACCGGUGCACCCCACGAUGAGGUACUGGGUUUGAUGAAACCUUUCUCCAGUAAAUGUUUUAACUGCUCUUUCAACUCCUUCAAUUCGACAGGUGCCAAUCUAUACGGAGGGAUAGAUAUUGGUUGCGUUCCCGGAAGCAAAUCGAUGCCAAAAUCAAUCUCUUGCUCUGGAGGAAUACCUAGAAGUUCAUCUGGAAAUACAUCUGCAUACUCCUUUACUACUGGAAUAGACUGAAGUGUAGCUAUCUCAGCAUCUGCAUCUUUAACUCGCACAAUAUGAUAAAUAUACCCUUUUGCGAUCAUUUUCCUCGCCUUCAAAUAGGAAAUAAACCUGCCUCUGGGUGUCGCUGUAUUACCUACCCAUUCAAGGACUGGCUCACCCAGAAAAUGAAAUCUAGCUGUCUUUGCUCGACAACCAACUGUGGCAUAACAAGCUGCCAACCAGUCCAUGUCCAUGAUAGCAUCGAAAUCCAACAUCUCUAGUUCAACCAGGUCGGCUGAGGUCUGACGACCACAAACUGCUACCGUACAACCUCGGUAAAUGCAUCUAGCGAUAAUCAAUUCUCCGACUGAUGUAGAUACCGCAAAAGGAUCAUUAAGUAUUUUAGGCACUAUACCAAAUUUCCUCGCGACAAUUGGGGUAAUAUAUGAUAAAGUAGAUCCUGGGUCUAUCAAGGCAUAAACAUCGUGAGAACAAAUGAUCAACAUACCUGUCACAACGUCUAGUGAGGACUCUUGGUCAUGUCGACCUACUAGCGCAUAGCUAUGAUUCUGGUUACCACCUGAACUGGACCAUCUACCUCUACCUCAACCUCUACCAGCUGAAGACUGAGACUCGCGCCCUGAAGGAUGCACGGACAUAACUGAUCCUAUUGUUGAAUUUGCUGGUUGCACCAUACCCCCAGAAUCUCUAUUUGGGCAAUCUCGCAUCAUAUGCAGUGAACUUCCACAUGUAUAACAAGCAUCACAACCGGCUCGGCAUUGGCCCAAGUGUCCUCGACCACAGAUGGCACAACACGGCAAAAAUGGCCAUGUCUGCCCCGAACCUUGUUGUCUCUGCAAUCUUGACACCUAGGAGCUCUUACCUGGUCCUGACUGAGUAUAACGGUCAUACCUGUAACCCUGUAGCUGAGGUGGCGGAGGUCUAGGUGGUCGUUCGAAGUACUGGGGCUUGUAACUACCUUGAGACUGCUCUUGAGACUUGGCAAAUCUCAUCUUCUUACGCUGCCCUAACUCAGCCCUCUCCGUACUCUGCUGCCGAUGUCUACCCCUCUCUAUAUUCUGGGCAAAUGCCUGAAUCUGGGAGAUAUCCAUACAAUCCUUUAAUGCAGCGGUGGUACAUGACUCGGACAACUCUGGGGCCAAUUUUGCUAUAAACCUGUGGAUCCUCUCCCGCAUAGUAGCAACUAUGGAUGGUGCAUAUAUGGCCAAUGAGUCAAAACGGAGACUAUACUCUCGAACACUCAUAUUGUCCUGCUUGAGAGCUAGAAACUGAUCGAGUCAGACUUGUCGGAUCUCUCGCGGUAAGUACUGGUCAAUGAAGGCAUCUGAAAAAUUCUCCCAAAUAGCAGGAGGUGCAUCAUAUCCCUAUCCCUCGUACCAAAGGAUGGCUAUAUCUCAGAAUCGAAAAGCUGCUAACUCAACUGCCUCUUUUUCUGUGGCAUGCAUAACCCGAAAGAUCCUAUAAAGCUGAUCAAUGAAAUCCUGCGGGUCCUCCCUCUAAUCUGUCACCAUGAACUCUAGGGAAUUCAAAGCAUUAAACUCUCGGACCCUUGAACUCCCAGAUCCCUCAGAAGGUCCUGCACUAGUGGAUGCCCUAGCAUGUUGCUGGGUAGCUACCAACUGUACCAACAAAUGCAUUGCACUUCUCAAGUACUGAUAUGAUGGAAGCGGAGGGGGAACUGGAUGUGCGGUCUCCCUAGGAAUCUCCUCAGGUGGCGGAGGAGCCGGUAAUCGCUGGGUAGGGGUCUCUCUUACGACUCCGAUUGGGCCCCAUCUGCUGGGGUACCCUGCUAGUCCCCUCACCUACUACUGUUUGUCUCCUAUGGCUAGCCGUAGUCUUCCUAGUUACCGUCAUCUGUGCAUGCAAAUGUCAACACGUAAGUUUUACUCAAAUUUUCUAUAACUCAUUGCUAUUACAGCACGAUUUAGAUUUGAAAGAAGGUUAACCAGCUCUUAAGUGCCCUGUAGUCCCCUGCUUAUAUAAUGUGGUGCACCAUACAUUUAUAAAUAAGACCCUAUUAGACACGGCUUGUAGACUUCCUAGGACAUAACUACUCUGAUACCACUUUUAUCACACUCCAAGCCUAGGGGCGACACCGGCACUCAGUGUCUCACCUAUCCUUGCGUAUCACUUUAGACUAAGAGUCUCUGAACAUGUAAUGUCAUACUUUGGCCAUGGGCCACAUUACAAGAUAAUGUGCGAUGCAAAAUAUAAAAACUGAAUAGAGACUAAUGCUGACUAAAUGUCAACAUAAGGCUGGGCCGGCAAGGCUGUCAUAAUUACUACAAUUGACAAGCCAACAAAAUAUACAUACAUGGCCUACAGGCCCAACAUACUGCACUAACUGACAGGAUAUGUCUACAAGCCUCUACUGAUAAAUGUACUGUGAUCGGAACAGGGCCCCUACCUACCCAUAUCAUAUCUACAUAUAUACACAAGAUGCACACCAAAACUUCUAGACCCGGCAACUCAGAAGGACGCGGAGCUUACCGAUAAAGCUGAACUCGGGCAAACACCUACUGGGGAGGUCUACCCGUCUGUUUGUCUGAACCUGUACGCAUGAAAUGCAGCGCCCCCAGAAAGAGACGUUAGUACAAAAUAAUGUACCGAGUAUGUAAGGCAAUAUACUGUAGCUGAAACUGAACUAAUAAUAAUAACUGAAAGCAACUAGGGGUCAAAGAUAAUAUGAGGAUAUGCUCAUGAGCUGACACUGACUCAACUCUCUCAAUAUAGUGAGUAAAAUUGUUGUCCGGCCCUAUAAGGCUCGGUAUAUAUAUAUCUGCUCUGCCGUAGUAGGAGCUCGGCUGUACUAGGCUCUGUAUCUUGACCAACUGGGCUCGCUCAUAGGCGCUCGGCUACAGCAGGCCUGGUAUAUAACUUACCAUUUGAUAAGAGGUUGCCCAAUAGGGGUCUGCCCAUCGAUUAUAGCUCGAUGGUAGUGAGAAUACAUUAAUACUGUAUAUAUAAAUUCUCUGCUCUCUUGACUGAAAAAAAGAAACACUCAAUUGAAUAUGUAGACCCGAUGCAUCCCGAUGCUGUAAAAAAAUUAAUGCGUCCCGAUGCUGUAAAAAAAUUAAUUCAUUGGGGAUAAUAGCAUUUUACUUGUAUACAAAAUGUAAGGAUAACUGCAGAGUGCAGGUCAUUUAUUUAUUCUUGAAUAGAGAUACAGAUAAAUUGUUAGGUAUGAAUUAUCACCAUUUGUAUGAUAAUGUCUAGUUUUCUGGUUACUUUAAGCAUGUUUUGGUUCUGUCAAAAGAAUGACAUUUAUUAAUAGUCCUUUCACUUAAUCAUACGCAACGUGCCAUUGAAACUUAGGAAAUAAUUGAAUCAUACAUAUGUUUCAAACGUGCAAAAGUUAUGGACCAAUUCAGAUAACAAACACUUUUAACUACAUUCAAGAAACUUGCGAGACUAGCAAAAUAUACAUAAAUUUCGUAAUAUGAAUUUUUCUUUAUGCUUCGUUAUCAACUCGUGUAACUUCGAGAUCAUGCCAAAAUAAAAGAAGGACUUAACCUUAACAUAUCCGGAGUAGGAAAAAUCCAUAUGAUAUCCUUGGAAAAAGUUACACCGUACUUCGUUAGAACCGCAAAAAUCGGAUUGAGCUUCUGCUUCUUCAAAUUUCUUGAACGCAACGUCAAGCUUCGUGCUUGUUGAGAUACUGAGCAAAUUUCUUAGAUCUGUUCUUUGAAAUUUUCAAAUCAAGAAAGAAUUGCAUUCUUGCUUUUUCUGAAUCACUACGUUACUUGUUCUCAUUUCC
rnacentral:lncRNA from 1 species